ACCAAAUGAACCAAACCAUACCAAAAAUAAAAACAAUCCAUUUAGCCCAAUUACAAACCCGAAUUAGAUGGCCUAAAUCAGAAAAUUUUAACAGCCCACUAAUUAAACCCAACAACCCACAAGCCCAAUACCUAAAAUACCCAAACCCAAUUCAGCCCAAAAUGAACCUAGCCCAACAAAAGUCAAACUAGGGUUUAAGCCGCACCUCUACCGCUUCUGACCAACGCCAGGCCUCUGCCCACCUGCUCCAAC
rnacentral:lncRNA from 1 species